UCGACCUGGAACCUCUGUGAAGCGUGAAAAUAUUCCAUUAAUGUCAUUGUUAAUUUUACAUUCUGUUAGAUGCAAUGUUGCAUUUACACUUUAAUACUUGGUGGUUGUUACUAUGGCUAUUACUAAAUUUUUUUACUUGUGUACUUCUUCAAAAUGAAAACAGUCUUGACUCCCAACCUGAAUUUCUCUCCUAGAAAUUGGCAGAGGAAAUGCUUCAAUAAAUUCAGAACCCUGCUUUUUCCCCCCAGUUUUUUGAAACAGAAAAUUUAUCCAGGUCAGGCUUUUCCCACUAGCGGGAUUUGAAUCCCCAUUUUCAAAGCAUAAUAAACCCAUGGGAUCACAAAAUACCUGUUUAGUUGCAAUGAUAAAUACAAGCUUUCAUUUUAGAGCAUAAAUCAGUGCACAUAUGAAAUAAUAUGUUGCUCUCCCUAGAUAUCUCAGGCCCCUUGGCUGGGGUCCUUCAUCAAGGGGAAAGCUGAAAAAUUUGCUUCCAGUUGCCCUUCUCUGGAGCAGAGUAGCAGCCUGCAGCACUUGCAGAGGGGUAUUGACACGCACCCAUUUGAAACGGCUUUGGCUGCAUUCCCAGAACAUCAUGUGUAUAUUUUUAAAAAUUUCAUAGAAGUAGUAAACAAUGAAAAGCUACAAAAUGGACACACGUCCCUGCUUUCUACCAGCGUUUCCUCUAGGGCUUGCUGCAGUGCGGAGCCUUCAAACCGCUCCUGCCAAGGGAAAUGGUGCCAGCCUUUCAUCCAUGACUUUCAGAAAUAUGGAUUUGGAAGUCAAAGUAGCUGAGAGAAGUCACUUCCAUUGCAGACAAGGAUUCUCCAAGGUAUAAACACUGCGUGGUCUCCAAUGUGCCCAGACCUGGAGAUCUGCAAUUGAAGGCUCUCCCAGCAGAGAGAGGCGGCGCAGCCCCGAGGAGUGUGCGGGAGAGACUUGCGGGGGAAGCUGGCGACUGCUCAGAGGUGAGGAGGUGAAAACAAUUGCAUUGCUUUGCCUGAUUCUGUUUUUCCUUUAAAUCUGAAAG
rnacentral:lncRNA from 1 species